rnacentral:rRNA from 1 species
GAUGAACGCUGGCGGCGCGCCUAACACAUGCAAGUCGAACGAUUAAAGCACCUUCGGGUGUGUAUAAAGUGGCGAACGGCUGAGUAACACGUGGGCAACCUGCCCCUUUCAUUGGGAUAGCCACGGGAAACCGUGGAUAAUACCGAAUACUUCGAGACUUCCGCAUGGAAGACUCGAGAAAGCUCCGGCGGUGAGGGAUGGGCCCGCGGCCUGUUAGCUUGUUGGUGGGGUGACGGCCUACCAAGGCAAUGAUGGGUAGCGUGGUUGAGAGACCGACCAGCCAGAUUGGGACUGAGACACGGCCCAGACUCCUACGGGAGGCAGCAGUGGGGAAUCUUGCACAAUGGGCGAAAGCCUGAUGCAGCGACGCCGCGUGCGGGAUGAAGGCCUUCGGGUUGUAAACCGCUUUCAGCAGGGACGAGGCGAAAGUGACGGUACCUGCAGAAGAAGCCCCGGCUAACUACGUG